GUUAAAACACCGCUUGCCUUACCAUCACCGAAGUCAAGCAACACAGAGCCUGAUCAGUACCUAGGUGGGUGACCGCUUUGGAAUACCAGGUGCUGUAAG